GACGUAGGGAGCAAGCGUUGUCCGGAUUUACUGGGCGUAAAGGGCGCGUAGGCGGUCUGUUAAGUGUGAAGUGAAAUCUCCAGGGCUCAACCCGGAAACUGCUUCGCAUACUGGCAGACUGGAGGAAGGAAGAGGUGAAUAGAAUUCCCGGUGUAACGGUGACAUGUGUUGAUAUCGGGAGGAAUACCAAUGGCGAAGGCAGUUCACUGGUCCUUUCCUGACGCUGAGGCGCGAAAGCGUGGGUAGCAAACAGGAUUAGAAACCCUAGUAGU
rnacentral:rRNA from 1 species